rnacentral:rRNA from 1 species
AGCAGCCGCGGUAAUUCCAGCUCCAAUAGCGUAUAUUAAAGUUGUUGCAGUUAAAAAGCUCGUAGUUGAAUUUCGGGAUCGGCAUGUUGGUCGUGCCUUACGGGGUAUGAACUGGCAUCGCCGGUUUCUCACCUUCUGGAGAAUCGUGAUGCUCUUAAUUGGGUGUUACGUGGAUCCAGGACCUUUACCUUGAAAAAAUUAGAGUGUUUAAAGCAGGCAUAUUGCUCGAAUACAUUAGCAUGGAAUAAUAAAAUAGGACGGUUUGGUUCUAUUUUGUUGGUUUCUAGGAUCACCGUAAUGAUUAAUAGGGAUAGUUGGGGGCAUUAGUAUUCAAUUGUCAGAGGUGAAAUUCUUGGAUUUAUUGAAGACUAACUACUGCGAAAGCAUUUGCCAAGGGUGUUUUCAUUAAUCAAGAACGAAAGUUAGGGGAAUCGAAGACGAUCAGAUACCGUCGUAGUCUUAACCAUAAACUAUGCCGACUAGGAAUCAGACGAUGUUUAAUUUUUUAAUGUACUCGUUU